rnacentral:misc_RNA from 1 species
AGCAGCCGCGGUAAUUCCAGCUCCAAUAGCGUAUAUUAAAGUUGCUGCAGUUAAAAAGCUCGUAGUUGAAUUUCGGGACUAAUAUGUCGGUCGUGCCUCGGUACGUACUGGUUUAUUGGUUUCUCCUUUCUGAAGAACCAUGAUGUCAUUUAUUUGGUGUCGUGGGGAAUCAGGACUGUUACUUUGAAAAAAUUAGAGUGUUUAAAGCAGGCUCACGCUUGAAUACAUUAGCAUGGAAUAAUGAAAUAGGACGUUUGAUUCUAUUUUGUUGGUUUCUAGGAUCGACGUAAUGAUUAAUAGGGAUAGUUGGGGGCAUUAGUAUUCAAUUGUCAGAGGUGAAAUUCUUGGAUUUAUUGAAGACUAACUACUGCGAAAGCAUUUGCCAAGGAUGUUUUCAUUAAUCAAGAACGAAAGUUAGGGGAUCGAAGACGAUCAGAUACCGUCGUAGUCUUAACCAUAAACUAUGCCGACU